AGUGAACGUUGGCGGCGUGGAUUAGGCAUGCAAGUCGAGCGAUCGUAGCAAUACGGGAGCGGCAAACGGGGUAGGAAUACAUCGGAACGUACCUUUUGGUUGAGAAUAGCGUUGGGAAACUGACGGUAAUACUCAAUAAAGUCGAGAGACCAAAGGUUUACUGCCGGAAGAGCGGCCGGUGCGAUAUUAGGUAGUUGGUGGGGUAAUGGCCUACCAAGCCUGAGAUGUCUAGGGGGUGUGAGAGCAUGGCCCCACCACUGGGACUGAGAUACUGCCCAGACACCUACGGGUGGCUGCAGUCGAGGAUCUUCGUCAAUGGGCGAAAGCCUGAACGAGCGACGCCGCGUGCGGGAUGAAGGCCCUUGGGUUGUAAACCGCUGUCAGGGGGGAUGAAACCGUAAGGUUGACAGAGCCCCAGAGGAAGCACGGGCUAAGUUCGUGCCAGCAGCCGCGGUAAU
rnacentral:rRNA from 1 species